UGAAGAUGACUACCGUAGAUAGCCAUGAUU
rnacentral:piRNA from 1 species